GAUGAACGCUGGCGGCGUGCCUAAUACAUGCAAGUCGAGCAAACGGACGAGAAGCUUGCUUCUCUGAUGUUAGUGGCGGACGGGUGAGUAACACGUGGAUAACCUACCUAUAAGACUGGGAUAACUUCGGGAAACCGGAGCUAAUACCGGAUAAUAUUUUGAACCGCAUGGUUCAAAAGUGAAAGACGGUCUUGCUGUCACUUAUAGAUGGAUCCGCGCUGCAUUAGCUAGUUGGUAAGGUAACGGCUUACCAAGGCAACGAUGCGUAGCCGACCUGGGAGGGUGAUCGGCCACACUGGAACGGAGACACGGUCCAGACGCCUACGGGAGGCAGCAGUAGGGAAUCUUCCGCAAUGGGCGAAAGCCUGACGGAGCAGCGCCGCGUGAGUGAUGAAGGUCUUCGGAUCGUAAAACUCUGUUAUUAGGGAAGAACAUAUGUGUAAGUAAAUGUGCACAUCUUGACGGUACCUAAUCAGAAAGCCACGGCUAACUACGUG
rnacentral:rRNA from 1 species